GAGUUUGAUCUUGGCUCAGAUUGAACGCUGGCGGCAUGCCUUACACAUGCAAGUCGAACGGUAACAGGUUAAGCUGACGAGUGGCGAACGGGUGAGUAAUACAUCGGAACGUGCCCAGACGUGGGGGAUAGCUCGGCGAAAGCCGGAUUAAUACCGCAUGUGAUCUGAGGAUGAAAGCGGGGGACCGUAAGGCCUCGCGCGUUUGGAGCGGCCGAUGGCAGAUUAGGUAGUUGGUGGGGUAAAGGCUUACCAAGCCUACGAUCUGUAGCUGGUCUGAGAGGACGACCAGCCACACUGGGACUGAGACACGGCCCAGACUCCUACGGGAGGCAGCAGUGGGGAAUUUUGGACAAUGGGCGCAAGCCUGAUCCAGCAAUGCCGCGUGCAGG
rnacentral:rRNA from 1 species